UACAAUGCAAUGAUAUAUGAUAAACUAUACACCUAUUUGAAUAAAUAGGUAAAUGGUGACCUACGUCUUUGUAUUUCCAACUUUUUAGGUCGUUUCCGGAUAAUCGUAGAAAAGUCUAGUCUAGUAGGUAACGAUACAUCUAGUAUACAUAUCUACUACAAGAGAAUAUAAAUUUUCACAAGAGAAUAAAAAUACCUUGAAAUAGAGGAGAAUCAAAUUGAAAGAGUGGAAAAUCUUUUUACCUAAUGAUUCAGAGCAGAAACUUUCUAAAGGUUCCUAUGAAUGCUUCUUGAAUAUUAUGAGAAGGAGAAAAAUACGGAUGAUACACGAGGCGAAAAUGAAGGAAAAUAUUCUACCUAAGAAAAGAACAGAGUCAGAUUGGAUUUCUUUGUCGUGUGGUACGAAUUCUGUUUGAUCUCGAGAGAAGGAUUCGUUGACGAAUCCGUUCCAACAGAGACGUCUUUCGAUUUCCGCUGACUGUUCCUGUGACGGUCGGUAUUUACUCCGGCUAGCGGCUGUUGAAAAUUCUACUAGUUCGAGCAGGAACAGGUUAAAGGAUCUCGAGUGGAACAGUGGGUCGAGUGGUGUAGGAAAGGGUGGAUUCGCUCUAUCCGAACGGCACGAACUUUCAGGGAUCGUCGCCAAAAAUUGGCAAAAGUUUCCACAACCUACUGACGAUGAGACGUGCAUAUUUCCACGUCUGCGGAAUUCUAGUAAAGCUAAACCAGCAGAAAACUCAGAAAACUACCGCGCCGAUCCAGAUAAAGAUCUCUGUUUAGCUAAGAGGAUUUAAGAUAUUUAACAUAUCAACCGUGACAUUCCAAUGAAAAUGAAGAAAAAGCAGAAAUUUGUUAACUCUUUUGCUUCUUCAGAAAUAGAAUCAAAGCUUUCAAAGCUUUCAAAGCUUUCAAAUAAAUAACAAAUCAUUAUUAUACUAUAAUAUAAUACAAUGGACUUUCAGAGCAAAAGAGUUAAAAAGAGUUAAGCCAUAUCUGUAUUUUUCACGAGAUAUUCGAUUUCGAUUUUCAUCGCAAAAAAAAAAAACAGUCACCGACCUUUGCCCUUAUCAUUUUAUUUUAUCGAAUUUGUUAUAUCGCAUCGGUCGCAGAAUCCCACGGGAAGAGAUUUCAGCCUGGAAAAUCCUCUGCAUCGCUCCAACGAAAUCUAACACGAACAAAAUUUCAAGCUUCUGCUUUCCUCUGGUAAAUUAUCCUCUAGUAAAUUAUCCUCUGGUAAAUAUUACAUUUUCUCGUGAAAAUAUCAUUGUGAAAUAUAUCAUUAUGUAUUAUAGUGUUAUACAAAAUUGAUUACGAUAUACAUAUGUAGUAUAACAUAGAUAGAGUAGAAUUUGUGCGUAACAAAUAACGCGUUGAAUGAAAAAAUAUGCGUGUGAAGAAGAGCGAGAAACUAUUUGAAAUUGAACAUGUACUGAACAUGCUAUUGAACUCGUAAAAAACAAAAUACUUAGAAUUAGAAAUAUACUGAAACUAUUUUUGAUAAUUUUCAAUCCUAACGUUACGAUACAUCGAUGAUACUGACAAUGAAAGAGCUGCGAGUAAACUCCCCCCACAAAUAAAACGCGAACGAAUAUAUUGUACCAUUGUCAAGAGACAGAGAAUCGAAGCCUAAUAAAUAGAGCGGAAUAAUAUUCGACAGGCGUAUCGUUUAGAUUUUAGAUGGGUUGCAUUUGUUCGAAUACGAAAAUCAUCAACCCACCCUUUAAAACGGAUACUACAUAUACAUAU